rnacentral:lncRNA from 1 species
CAAAUACAGAUGGAGGGACCCAGUGAAUCCUACCUUCCGAGUCAUGAAAAAUUCAUACCAUGUGACUUUCUCUGGCCCUUAUCACUGCUAUCUAUGGGAGAAUAUCUUCUUGAAGAUCAUUUUGCAUAUGAGGAAGCUGAGGUAAACAGCAUUAAGCAACUUGCCAAUGGUCACACAGCUGUUCCAGAACACUGAUGAGCAUGGAGGAGUUCCAUAGGCAUGCAAAGGAAUUUGUCAAUAAAAAUACCGACAUCUAGGAUGUUUAUUGUCUA